rnacentral:lncRNA from 1 species
GGCCGCCCCCCACGCGGCCCCCCGGCCCCGCCGCCUUACCUCGGCCGCCCGCCCGGCCCGCUCGCGCGCCGCUACGGUGUGGGGGAGGGAGAGAGAAAAAAACCCUUCCUUAAGGAAAUGGAGGCAGCUGUGGGGGGGGGAAGGGGGGGGAGGGAAAAAAAGAAGCCGAGGAGGCUCUGGCCGGGGAGUGUGGAACAUUGAAAGUCGGAGGGGGUUGUGCAGUGCCGGGCUCCGGCCGGAGGGUGGCGCCGCCCAGCGCCUUCGGAAAAAAGCGGGGGUGGGAGCUCGGCUGGGCGAGGGCGCGAGCUCCCGGCGAGGCGGAGGGGACGCGGGAGACCCCCGCGCGCUGUAGCCUCCCGCCGCCGCCGCCCGGCUCGGCUCCUCCCGGCCGCGCAGUCAGCAAGUUCCGAGGCGAGCGCGGGGGGGAGGGGCGGGCGCGGCGGCGACGCGCGUGCUCGCUGCUUGCCUGGCGGAGGGGCGCGCGCCGCCGACGCCCGGCGGGCGCGAGCUGUUCCCGCGCGCUCCCGUGCGCGCUCUCCACACCUCCCCUCACCCUGGGGGUGCACGCGUCCGCCCGCGCGCGGCCAGGACAAAGAGCGCGGCGGGGACCCGGCGGGCUGGCCCCUGCCGCCCUUGGCCGCGGAGCCUGUGCCAGAGAAGGCGGGGGCGCGGGCACCGUAUCGCGGGGCCGCUGUGCCGCGGGGUGGCUUCCGGCCUGGGCCCGCCUCCGGGGCGAGGCUGCCCAUUGGGCUACCCGCGUCCCCAGGGCUGGUUCCAUCCCAUCCGCCUGCGCGGGGGCCGUCGUGGCUCCCGGGGCCCCAGUACCUGGGCAAGGGCCCUGGGCGCGUGGUUGGGAGUCCCCCGCCGCCCCGGGAGACGGGAGACUAAUGGGUGUUGUUGACGAGGCCAGGCACGCAGGCGGAGAAGAGCUGCCACUUGCCCCUCGCUCUCCAGGUGGACUCUGCGGUUUUUACCCCACGGCACAAAGUAGCCAGAAUACAAAAACUUCCUGUUUGCCACCCAGGCCUUCUCCAGCUACUGAGAACUUGUUCCGGUGAUGGAGCCUCAAAGGAAUUUGUGGAUUCCUCUCCCACAAGUGUCCAGGGGCAGGGGUGCUGUGAGAAUGUGCAGUUCACAAAGGGAGUGAGAAUGGCAGUCAAAAGAUGUAUAGAGUUAAGGGAAAGAAGAAAAGACUGAGUGAGCCAACGUAUUUGCUUACUAUUUCUCCUAAUAGAAAACUUUUGGUAAAGGCUUGAUAGCAACUCUAAAGAGUAAGUUACAUUUCCAUAAUUUUCCAAAGACACAGUCAUUCAGUUAACUUUAUUGAGGGCUAUAUGUUGCUAGGUGCUGGACAUACACUCAUUCAAUUGCUGUGUGACUAAAGCCAGGUCUCUACUCUGUGCUAAGAGCUCCUAGUCCAGAAGGGGAACAGUUCAUUAAAGUUCGCUAGGUUCAUAAGUAGUAAGGAUAUUCCACUCAGAAUGAACAGAUAGAAUAUCUCAUGCCUCAAAAAAGAUCAUGGUCUGUGUGUGGACAAGCAUUUUGAUUUGGCUGGGUCAAAGAGUGCUUGUGGGAAAAGCUUGUUAGUGAAAAUAAAAGCAGAAUUUUCCCCCAGCUUUACACGAUGUGAUGUUACAGCAAAAGCCAGCCAAUUUGGAGUUGAAGCUUUGCUUUGUUUGGAAUGGGGAGACAGAAAAGGAAAGCUGUACGUUAAACAUGGGUUCUUUUAGGAAAUUUAAGAACAGAAAUAGCCUGAAGGCCCAAAGGCCAAUUGCUGAUAGGAUUUAGUGGGGUAAGGAGCUUAGGGGAGAAAGAUAUUUAGUUGUUUGGUAACAUCUUCUACAGAAGAAAUAGUAUUGGGUUGAAAAGCCAGGGAAGUGUAUUCUAAUCCUCAUUCUACGAAGUUCAUAUGACCUCAGGCAAGUUAAGUUAUUUCAAUUACUUUUAUGUAAAAGGAGAUUGUAUCAAAGGUUCUAAGUCCUCUCCUGCUCAAAAAUUCCAUGAUUCCGUGAUUCUUUGGCGAACUUGAAGUCAUGGAGUUUAACUUAACAUUCACCCAACAGAAUAUUUAGGAUCUACUAACUGCUUGGGAAACUGGAGUGAAACAUGGGUCAUGCUCUUAACCAAGCUCAAUUGUGCAGUGGGGCAGCCAGAAACGUAGCCUGCAGAAUGAGAAGUGCUGUAUUAAAGAAGUAAAGAGAAUGAGAAAAGAGCAUUACUAAUCAUCAAUUAACUAAUAAUGGAACUAUUAAUUCAGGUUGGAAUUGUGGGGCAUGAGGUAAAGGUCAAAGAAGGAAACAUUAGAUUGGUCCUGGAGAGAGCACUAGGGCCAGUGAUAAUGUAGAUAAUAUAGAUAAUGCUCUUGGCAAAAUACCUGGAAUUUGGGUGUUCAACAAAUAAUACCUAUUGUUAAAGUCACCGUAAAGAUAAUGAAUGGCUCCAUAAGGUUAGGGGCAGUAGUGCCCUGCCCCUACAAUGUGAGGUGCCUGGCUGCCUUCAUUCAGCUGACUCAAGGGGUUGCUCAAAUGAUUUCAGCUCACAGCUCCUCUCCCAGGUGACUUGGCAUCACCUCCACCAGAAGUAACUUGUAAGGUGUAAAUUGUUUCUAAUGUUUAGUUCUUCCUUGUGUGACAACCUGUUUUGUAAUUAUUUUUUCUCUCUUGUUUUUGCUAUGUCAAUCCUUGAAAUUAAGGAUCAUGUUUCACAGGCACUCUUGGAAGCAUACAAAUUUGACCUAAUGCAAUUAUUUCAUAAAAUAUAAAAAGGGCCCUUUUCCCAUAAGGUCCCUCAGAAUAGUUCCACAAGCAGACACCAGCUACCACAAAGAAGAUUGUUUCCUCUCAGUCUCUUUUAUUUUCUCUUGUUGGUGUGGGGUCCUGCCAGCCUCUCACAACCCUGAGAAGGGCAGUGGUAAGAGGGAAGAUGCCGAAUCCAAUUGCAGUAUUACAAUGAUUAUCUCUUAUCCCCUUAUCCACCAAAUGUUGUGACAAAAAGAGGCCUGCCUAAGGGCAAAUAAGGCAGACCCCAGAAUCCUUUGCACCUCCCUAGUUUGGGAGAUGCUUUUUCCUGCGCCUUUCAAUGAGUCUCAGUGUUAUCUGUGUACAUAACUGUGAGUAUGUAUAACUAAGAAUUUCACAGGAUCUAUCACUGAGUUACCUAAGAAGUUUCUGAAUUGAAUGAUUAUGUAAGCUGGGGUAUAGACCUCUACUUAUCCACCAUGACCAGCAGCAUCCCUCACAUGUAAAAAAUGUAGAAUAAAUAUGAAUUUAUUUUGUUGAUUUUAA